rnacentral:rRNA from 1 species
CCUACGGGAGGCAGCAGUGGGGAAUAUUGGACAAUGGACGAAACCCUGACGCAGCAACGCCGCGUGAAUUCUGCCUGUCUUCUGUUUGUACCUUUCUUUUCUAAGUGAAGAAGACAGUGACGGUAACUUAGUAAUCAGCCUCCGCUAACUACGUGCCAGCAGCCGCGGAAAUCCGUAGGAGGCGCGCGUGAUCCGGAAGGACUGGACGUAAUGGGUGGGGAGGUGGGCUGGCAAGGUAGUAGCGAAACUCUGAGGCUCAACCUGGGAACUACAACGAAAACUGGUGGCCUUGAGUGCAGGAGAGGCGAGUGGAAUUCCAGGUGUAGCGGUGGAAUGCGUAGAGAUCAGGAGGAACACCAGUGGCGAAGGCGGGUUGCUGGAC